CGGAUACAAGUUCCUGCUACAGUCAAAUCCCGCGCAUGCACAACCACAAGCACGAGACGAGACUUUGCAUAACGUCGGAUGAAACUUUUGACAACCGGAAGUGGUAUUUUGGAAUUUCAUCUUUCAAUUACAGCUGUUCUGAAAGUUAAAGGGGAGUGAAAGAGCCAAGAACUGGCUCAUCCGAGUGCCCCACCAACUGACAAUCAAGAACAGGCGAGGUUGAAUCCUGU